rnacentral:lncRNA from 1 species
UGCCCUCGUUGAUAUAUGAGAAGAGACUGGUCGGUAGAAUUGGUACAUGUAGUACAAAGUCUUUGUACAGACAAAACAGAAGAUGAUAGGUUGUGCUUACUUUUGAAAUAUUCAUAGCAACUCUUAUGAUAUUUUGUAUUUUCAAAUGGGAUGUUUUCAUUUUUUUCAUAUUCAUCGACCAGUCUUCUGUAAACUUCAUCUUUUCGUUUUCCCACUGCGGCAAUACAACUGUAUCUUCAUUUAAGUGUUUAACUACAUAGUUUCUAUGUAGUAAAUACAUGACAGACUAUGCAUCUGUGUCAAUCAAUGGAUAGUUUUUGCUCUUUAGCAUAGGAAGGGUUUCAUUGUGAACUGGACUGUGAAAAUUUGACACGACUCGGAAGAUUUUCUACAAUUUUCCGAUACGAUUCCUUAUUUAGAAAUGGGUGAAUUCUACAGAAC